CCUACGGGUGGCUGCAGUGGGGAAUAUUGCACAAUGGGGGAAACCCUGAUGCAGCAACGCCGCGUGUAUGAUGAAGGUUUUCGGGUUGUAAACUCCUUUUAUGAGGGAAGAUAAUGACGGUAUCUCACGAAUAAGCCCCGGCUAACUCCGUGCCAGCAGCCGCGGUAAUACGGAGGGUGCAAGCGUUACUCGGAAUCACUGGUCGUAAAGAGUGCGCAGGCGGGCUUGUAAGUCAGAUGUGAAAUCCUGUAGCUUAACGACAGAACUGCAUUUGAAACUAUGAGUCUAGAGUGUGGGAGAGGUAGGUGGAAUUCUUGGUGUAGGGGUAAAAUCCGUAGAUAUCAAGAGGAAUACCCAUGGCGAAGGCGACCUACUGGAACAUUACUGACGCUCAGACACGAAAGCGUGGGGAGCAAACAGGAUUAGAUACCCGAGUAGUC
rnacentral:rRNA from 1 species